GACGAACGCUGGCGGCGUGCCUAAUACAUGCAAGUCGAACGCAGUGGGGACGAGUUAGUAACACGUGGGUGACCUCCCAUCAGAGGGGAUAACACUUGGAUACAGGUGCUAAACCGAUACUGAUGGAUGGACCCGCGGUGCAUUAGCCAGUUGGUGGGGUAACGGCUCACCAAGGCCACGAUGCAGAGCCGGGCCGGGAGGGUGGUCGACCACAACGGGACGUAGGAACGGGCCAGAAUCCCAAGGGAGGCAGCAGUAGGGAAACAUCGGAAAUGGACGAAAGUCUGACCGAGCAAAGCCGCGGGAGUGAAGAAGGGCUUCGGAUCGGAAAGCUCUGUUGUGAAGGAAGCGGUACUCAACCAGAAAGGGCCGGCUAACUACGUGCCAGCAGCCGCGGUAAUUC
rnacentral:rRNA from 1 species